GACCUGUUGGUGAAGUGGUUUAACACGCUACCCUCUCAAGGUAGUAUUCGUGGGUUCGAAACCCAUACAGGUUA
rnacentral:tRNA from 1 species